rnacentral:rRNA from 1 species
UACGUAGGGGGGCUAGCGUUGUCCGGAAUCAUUGGGCGUAAAGAGCGUGUAGGCGGUCCGGUAAGUCCGCUGUGAAAGUCGGGGGCUCAACCCUCGAAUGCCGGUGGAUACUGUCGGGCUCGAGUCCGGAAGAGGAGUGUGGAAUCCUGGUGUAGCGGUGAAAUGCGCAGAUAUCAGGAGGAACACCAAUGGCGAAGGCAGCACCUGGAGGA